rnacentral:rRNA from 1 species
CCUACGGGCGGCUGCAGUGGGGAAUAUUGGACAAUGGGCGAAAGCCUGAUCCAGCCAUGCCGCGUGUGUGAAGAAGGCCUUCGGGUUGUAAAGCACUUUCAGUGGGGAAGAAAGCCUUGGGGCUAAUACCCUCGAGGAAGGACAUCACCCACAGAAGAAGCACCGGCUAACUCCGUGCCAGCAGCCGCGGUAAUACGGAGGGUGCGAGCGUUAAUCGGAAUUACUGGGCGUAAAGCGCGCGUAGGCGGUCUGAUAAGCCGGUUGUGAAAGCCCCGGGCUCAACCUGGGAACGGCAUCCGGAACUGUCAGGCUAGAGUGCAGUAGAGGAAGGUAGAAUUCCCGGUGUAGCGGUGAAAUGCGUAGAGAUAGGGAGGAAUACCAGUGGCGAAGGCGGCCUUCUGGACUGACACUGACGCUGAGGUGCGAAAGCGUGGGUAGCAAACAGGAUUAGAUACCCCUGUAGUC